rnacentral:SRP_RNA from 1 species
GCUGGGCAUGGUGGCGCAUGCUUGUAAUCCCAGCUACUCGGGAGGCUGAGGCAGGAGAAUUGCUCGAACCUGGGAGGCAGAGGUUGCAGUGAGCUGAGAUCACACCACUGCACUCCAGCCUGGGCGACAGAGCAAGAUUCUGUCUCAA